AUUGAACGCUGGUGGCAGGCCUAACACAUGCAAGUAGAACGAGUGGCGGACGGGUGAGUAAUGUCUGGGAAACUGCCUGAUGGAGGGGGAUAACUACUGGAAAAGGUAGCUAAUACCGCAUACCAUCAGAUGUGCCCAGAUGGGAUUAGAUGGUUGGUGGGGUAACGGCUCACCAAGGCGACGAUCCCUAGCUGGUCUGAGAGGAUGACCAGCCACACUGGAACUAUGACACGGUACAGACUCCUACGGUAGGCAGCAGUGGGGAAUAGUGCGCAAUUGGCGCAAGCCUGAUGCAGCCAUGCCGCGUGUAUGAAGAGGGCCUUCGGGUUGUAAAGUACUUUCAGCGGGGAGGCGUUAUCCGCAGAAGAAGCACCGGCUAACUCCGUGCCAGCCGCCGCGGUAAUAC
rnacentral:rRNA from 1 species